rnacentral:rRNA from 1 species
AUUGAACGCUGGCGGCAUGCUUUACACAUGCAAGUCGAACGGUAACAGGCCGCAAGGUGCUGACGAGUGGCGAACGGGUGAGUAAUGCAUCGGAACGUGCCCAGUCGUGGGGGAUAACUACUCGAAAGAGUAGCUAAUACCGCAUACGAUCUAUGGAUGAAAGCGGGGGACCGUAAGGCCUCGCGCGAUUGGAGCAGCCGAUGUCAGAUUAGGUAGUUGGUGGGGUAAAGGCUCACCAAGCCAACGAUCUGUAGCUGGUCUGAGAGGACGACCAGCCACACUGGGACUGAGACACGGCCCAGACUCCUACGGGAGGCAGCAGUGGGGAAUUUUGGACAAUGGGCGCAAGCCUGAUCCAGCAAUGCCGCGUGCAGGAAGAAGGCCUUCGGGUUGUAAACUGCUUUUGUACGGAACGAAACGGCUCUGGUUAAUACCCGGGGCUAAUGACGGUACCGUAAGAAUAAGCACCGGCUAACUACGUG